rnacentral:rRNA from 1 species
GAUGAACGCUAGCGGCAGGCCUAACACAUGCAAGUCGAGGGGUAGAGGAAGCUUGCUUCCUUGAGACCGGCGCACGGGUGCGUAACGCGUAUGCAAUCUACCUUAUACAGAGGGAUAGCCCAGAGAAAUUUGGAUUAAUACCUCAUAGUAUUAUGAAAUCGCAUGGUUUUAUAAUUAAAGUUCCAGCGGUAUAAGAUGAGCAUGCGUCCCAUUAGUUAGUUGGUAAGGUAACGGCUUACCAAGACAAUGAUGGGUAGGGGUCCUGAGAGGGAGAUCCCCCACACUGGUACUGAGACACGGACCAGACUCCUACGGGAGGCAGCAGUGAGGAAUAUUGGUCAAUGGACGCAAGUCUGAACCAGCCAUGCCGCGUGCAGGAUGACGGUCCUAUGGAUUGUAAACUGCUUUUAUACAGGAAGAAACACUCGGACGUGUCCGAGCUUGACGGUACUGUAGGAAUAAGGAUUGGCUAACUCCGUGCCAGCCGCCGCAGUAACAC